rnacentral:rRNA from 1 species
GUAGUCCUAGCCGUAAACGGUGCUUGCUUGCUGUAAAAGGAAUCGACCCCUUUUGUGGCGAAGCCAACGCGAUAAGCAAGCCGCCUGGGAAGUACGGUCGCAAGAUUAAAACUCAAAGAAAUUGACGGGGGCCUGCACAAGCGGUGGAGUAUGUGGCUUAAUUCGAUGCAACGCGAAGAACCUUACCUGGCCUUGACAUGCACGUAGUAGGAGGAUGAAAGUCUAACGAGGUAGCAAUACCAGCGUGCACAGGUGCUGCAUGGCUGUCGUCAGCUCGUGUCGUGAGAUGUUGGGUUAAGUCCCGCAACGAGCGCAACCCUUAUGUCCUGUUGCCAAUCCAACGAGAGUUGGGAGCACUCUGGACAGACUGCCUCGCUUAAACGAGGA